AGCAGCCGCGGUAAUUCCAGCUCCAAUAGCGUAUAUUAAAGUUGUUGCAGUUAAAAAGCUCGUAGUUGAAUUUCGGGAUUUAUCCGUCGGUCGGGCUUUUGGGUCUGUACUGGCGUGAUGGAUUCCUACCUUCUGAAUAACCGGCAUGUCAUUAAUUUGGUGCGCUGGGGAAGCAGGACUGUUACCUUGAAAAAAUUAGAGUGCUUAAAGCAGGCUAUUGCCUGAAUACAUUAGCAUGGAAUAAUGAAAUAGGACGGCAUGGUUCUAUUUUGUUGGUUUCUAGGAUCACCGUAAUGAUUAAUAGGGAUAGUUGGGGGCAUUAGUAUUCAAUUGUCAGAGGUGAAAUUCUUGGAUUUAUUGAAGACUAACUUCUGCGAAAGCAUUUGCCAAGGAUGUUUUCAUUAAUCAAGAACGAAAGUUAGGGGAUCGAAGACGAUCAGAUACCGUCGUAGUCUUAACCAUAAACUAUGCCGACUAGGGAUCGGACGAUGUUAAAUUUUUUAAUUAGUACUCGUUCGGU
rnacentral:rRNA from 1 species